rnacentral:piRNA from 1 species
UAUCACGCAGGACUCUGUGGGCCCUAUUU